rnacentral:rRNA from 1 species
AGUGGCGAACGGCUGAGUACACAUAGGUAACCUGCCCUUAAGUGGGGAAUAACUCUGGGAAACUAGAGUCAAUUCCGCAUGUAGUCCUCAUAAGUAAAGCCGCGCUUGAGGAGGGGCCUGUGACCUAUCAGGUAGUUGGUGUGGUAACGGCUCACCAAGCCGACGACGGGUAGCUGGUCUGAGAGGACGACCAGCCAGACGGGGACUGAGACACGGCCCCGACUCCUACGGGAGGCAGCAGCAAGGAAUAUUGCGCAAUGGGCGAAAGCCUGACGCAGCGACGCCGCGUGGGGGACGAAGACCUUCGGGUUGUAAAACCCCUUUAUGAGGGACGAAUGACGGUACCUUAUGAAUAAGUCUCGGCUAACUACGUGCCAGCAGCCGCGGUAAUACGUAAGAGGCAAGCGUUAUCCGGAUUUAUUGGGCGUAAAGAGCGCGU